UGUCAAAGGAUGGGAAUCGAACCCCACGACCUUCCAACCCACGACCUUCCGCUUACGGGCAGAUGCCAUGACCACUAGGCUACCCUGGAC